UGCAAUGGGCAAUGGCCAUCCUCUUGGGGA
rnacentral:piRNA from 1 species